GGCGGACGGGUGAGUAAUGCGUGAGCAACCUGCCUUUCAGAGGGGGACAACAGUUGGAAACGACUGCUAAUACCGCAUAACAUAUUUUGGGGGCAUCCCCGGGAUAUCAAAGGAGCAAUCCGCUGAAAGAUGGGCUCACGUCUGAUUAGCUGGUUGGUGAGGUAACGGCUCACCAAGGCUGCGAUCAGUAGCCGGACUGAGAGGUUGAACGGCCACAUUGGGACUGAGAUACGGCCCAGACUCCUACGGGAGGCAGCAGUGGGGAAUAUUGGGCAAUGGGCGAAAGCCUGACCCAGCAACGCCGCGUGAAGGAAGAAGGUCUUCGGAUUGUAAACUUCUUUUAUGAGGGACGAAGGACGUGACGGUACCUCAUGAAUAA
rnacentral:rRNA from 1 species